CACCCUUUGUCUAAGCAAACUAAGCCCUCUCCUUUCUCCCUCCUAUAGUCUCUCUUAUUUUCAUUUUAAUUACCUACCAUGAACUUCAUCUCCACCCUCUUUUCCUCAUGGGGUGGCUGCAAUCCCUCUUCUCUCCAUUGAAGAAGCUUUGGGUUCGUCUUCACUCUGCUCCCAAGAAGAGAAGAGGGAUAUAUAUCCUGUACGAGGAUGUUAAGUCUUGCCCUUGUGAAGAUGUUCAAGUGCUUUGGUCCAUACUAGUGGAGUCGCAUCCACGUUCUUUGCCUCCACCAAAAUGAAGGUCUUUACAUAAAAGCACAAAAAAAGAGAGGGGAGAUUUACAGUCACAUGUACAUAGAUUACAACACUUUUGUCCCACAUAGGUCCUUUUCCCAUCUCUUCAUUCAUGUUUGCAUCUUCAAUCUCUUGUGAAUUGUGAGUGAGGUUCAUCUGAAAGUCUUUAUAUUAUUGAAAUUAUUAUGUCUUUCACUUAUUGUGAGUGUAUUAUUCUUUGCAAUUUGGUAAAAUGCUUGUAAAUGUAAUGCGAGUGAGCGAGUGAAAAGUGGAGAACAAAAAUGUUAUUUUGCUCGAACUUUUUAAAAAUAUUGUCGAGUGUGUCGGAUUCUUCAAAAACAGUGCAUUUUAAAAGGAUCCCACUGCCACUUUUUUGGGGAAUUCGAGCAACACAACAAGAAGGUAGAAGAAAAGAAGACCUUUGUGAAAUUGAAACACCAGACUCCAGCAGUACAAGGUGUAAUCUUAAUAUUUUGCAAGUUGAUGACAAUUUUAAGAGGUUCUGCAUAGUCGGUGUUUCGCUUCCAAGAACAAAGAGAUGUUCUAAUAAAGUAGACUCUCAUUAUUUUAUUUUCUAUUUGUUGUCUUGUCAGUUUCAACAGUUAAUGAGUCAAUAGGUCUUCAAAACUUAUUAUGAAUUAAAUAAAGUUGACUAUGGGCUAGCUUAAGGACGUUA